GGAUUGUGGCUCAGCGGUAGAGCGCUCGCCUAGCAUGUACAAGGCCCUGGGUUUGAUCCUCAGCACCA
rnacentral:tRNA from 1 species